rnacentral:lncRNA from 1 species
CUAAACUUCAAAAGGAGACUGAUGAAGUACAAACUUGUGCUAAGUUUCUAGUAAAGGGGUAGAGGAAGCAGAAUCUGAUUUGAGCUCAGUAUCAUAGAUCUUUGUUCAUGAGGGGAAUGGAAGGAAGCGGGGCUGGGGAAGUUAUUGUUAAGAAAGCAAUCAACACUCGAAAGAAAGGUCUUGUGGCUUCACUAGGACCCAUUAGAAACAGUGCUUAGAGUUAUGUUAGGAACUAAAAUCUGAUUACCAUUAUCAGCAUGGGAUGAUAGGCAGACUCAA